rnacentral:rRNA from 1 species
GAUGAACGCUGGCGGCGUGCUUAACACAUGCAAGUCGAACGGGAUCCAUCAAGCUUGCUUGGUGGUGAGAGUGGCGAACGGGUGAGUAAUGCGUGACCGACCUGCCCCAUACACCGGAAUAGCUCCUGGAAACGGGUGGUAAUGCCGGAUGCUCCGGCCUGCCGCAUGGUGGGCUGGGAAAGAUUGUAUCGGUAUGGGAUGGGGUCGCGUCCUAUCAGGUAGUCGGCGGGGUAACGGCCCACCGAGCCUACGACGGGUAGCCGGCCUGAGAGGGCGACCGGCCACAUUGGGACUGAGAUACGGCCCAGACUCCUACGGGAGGCAGCAGUGGGGAAUAUUGCACAAUGGGCGCAAGCCUGAUGCAGCGACGCCGCGUGCGGGAUGACGGCCUUCGGGUUGUAAACCGCUUUUGAUCGGGAGCAAGCCUUCGGGUGAGUGUACCUUUCGAAUAAGCACCGGCUAA